GUUGAACGCUGGCGGCAGGCCUAACACAUGCAAGUCGAGCGAACGGAGGAGGAUUGCGCUUGUAUGAUGUGAGCGACGGAUGGGUAAUUCAUACGAGUCUGACCUGUCGUGGGGGCUGACGUCAGGUAACGAGACCGAAUCUAACACCGGAUCAGAUUGAGAAAGGGGGGGUUCAUAGGAGCUAGAGCUACCUGAUGUCCCUAGUUGAGAGUUGCUCGCUGGAUUAGUGAGUUGGUAAGGUAACGGCUUACCAAGGCAACGAUGCAUAGACGAUCUGAGAGGGUGAUCGGCCACACUGGAACUGAGACACGGUCCAGACUCCUACGGGAGGCAGCAGUAGGGAAUCUUCCGCAAAGGGCGAAAGCCUGACGGAGCAACGCCGCGUGAGUGAUGAAGGUCUUCGGAUCGUAAAACUCUGUUAUUAGGGAAGAACAUAUGUGUAAGUAACUGUGCACAUCUUGACGGUACCUAAUCAGAAAGCCACGGCUAACUACGUG
rnacentral:rRNA from 1 species